rnacentral:lncRNA from 1 species
GAAAGAGUAACAGCAGAAGAGACUUAAAAAGAGAAUCUUUGACACAUUGUUUUAUUUUUAUCAGCUAUGCUAAUACUGAAUAGUGGAGGACCAAAGAUAUAUAAAUUACAAACCACAACUAAAAAGUCAAUUUAUUCAACAUUAAAAACAGAGUCUCCAGUGAUCCUAAUAAUUGAUGACAUUUCUUAAGGAUGCCAAAGACAGAAAGUUUUAUAUAUACCAAAAUAUUUAUAAUUGUUUCUUUUUCUUUUUUUCCUUUUCCUUUUCUUUUUUUCAAUAGCAAAGAUCUGGACAUAAAGUGGGUGAUUAUCAAAUGGGAAAUUGUGUUUUUAAACCAUGGUAUUUGAAUACAAUUGAAUAUUAUUAUGCCAUAAGAAAUAACAAAUUUGAGGAAUCCAGAGAAACAUGGGAAGACAUGUAUAAACUGAUGCAGUAUGAAAAUAGAACUCUAAGGCAAAGUACACAAUGCCUUUAAUAAUGGAAAUUGAAAGAAUGUUCAAGGAAAAACAAACUUGAGCAAUUAUAAUAUUCAAUCUUGUUAUUUCAGAACAAAUAACGAAACAUACUUCUUUUAGUAGAAAAAUGGAGACCCAUGAAGACAACGUGCUGCAUUCAUCAUCAGAAAGGGCCAUAUUUGGUUUUUUGCUAACUUGUUUUAUCUUUGUUACAGGCAAGGGUUCAAUUCCUGAGGGAGGGAAAUGGAGCAGGGUACACAUAGAAAUGACUAUGGUUGAGUGACUAGGCUACAAGAAUAUUCAUUAAUGGUUCAAUGUCACUUUAACACAAGGUCUCAAUUGGCACAGUGUUCAACAUUUUUUAUCAAUGACCCAUAUAAAAAGGCAGAUAUGGAAUAUUCCCCACAUUUGUAGGUGACAGAAGUUGUAAAGGAGAGCUAAUAGACUAAAUCUCAUUAACUACCAUGGUUUCAAUUAUCAACUCUAUGCUAAUGAUAUUCAGUUCUACUAAUCCAGCUAUAAUCUCCCGCCUAACUCUUCAGGCUCAUACUUCAGCUGUCUCAUAGACAUCUUAAACUCAAUAUAUCCAAAACUGAACCUAUUUUCUUUCUUUUCCUCCUCCUUGCCAAACGGCUUCCUGGCUUCAUUCUGCCAUCCUGACACCCCUAGAAUUUCUUUAUAUCUUCAAAGCUUAACACAAUAUAGGACUAUACAGCCCCAGAGGUCCUUUCUGGUGCUCAAAUUCUGUGAUUUUCUUUUCUGUUAAGGCUCAAGGUUGCUGACACGAACUAACCUAUCUUAUCUUCUCAUAGGGAAAGUUAUUACUGAGAUAUGACAACCUCCUCAAAACAAAUACAGUACUAUGAAGACUACUGCCAUUGUACCCAUAGUGUUAGAGAUCCAUUUUCUUACUUCUGUGUGAGUCAGUUUUGCUUCCAGAUUCCAAGAGCAGAAGUAUAAAUAUCCAACAACCUUCUGAAAAUUGGGACUUCUUGCUAGUCUCCAAGUCCAAACAGGUAAGAAUGUUAUGACAUAAGCACAAUGAUGACAAAUGAUAAAUUAUUAUAAUUUAGAGUCAGACAGAAGCCAUAAUUCAAAUGACAAGGGCUUAUUUAAGACAAAAUAAAUCUUUUAUCUUCAAGAAAUUUGUUUUUGAGUUGGGGCAAUGAGUUUUAAUUCUGACUGUGCCAUGUAUUAACUGGGUUACUUUUGGGAAAGUAAUUUCAGCUCUCAUUGGCUUCAAUUUCUUUUGCAAUCAAGUAAGGAAAUUGGGUUAGACUGCUUCUAAGAUUCUAAGUUUCCUUCCAACUACAAAUGUACAACUCUACAAAACUAUUUCUUUAAACCACAUGGUGGCAUUUAGAUUCACUUUGGUCCAAUGAUUACUUGGGUCAAUAUGGCCACAUGAAACAGCUGUAGCUUGUACUAGAAAAUACUGUCAAAUAACAGCCUGGACCUUCAGGAAAGGAAGAGAAAAAGGAUAAAAAGAAAAUGAGAAUCUUCAACACAGUCCAAAGGCUGUCCAAUAUAAACAAUGGACUCACCAUGCUGUACAUAAGACUACAGGUUUAAGCCUUGACACAGCAACUGGCCUUCACAAUGCUACCACACGCAUUUUCAGGACACCCAAUUGGCUGUCUAGUAUCUUGACACAUUCAAGUACCAUGAAACCUCCAUCACCAGAAAGUAGAGGGAAAAAACCAACACAAAAAGAUCAUCAAUGAAUCCCUGCAGGACCCAAGGAAAAGCCAUCCAAGAAUAAAGGGUAGAGGCCCAAAUGAGGUCACCUCCUUCUGUGAGCUGCAAACCCAGCCAUCUAGUAGAUUCAGCUAAUGGCUCAUUACUUUCCAGAUGGUAAGGGUGUCUUUUAUAGUUACCUUUUGUUUCCUCCCCUUUGCCCAAACUGUCAGCUAAUGAAACAAUUUCCCACUUACUCCAUUACUCUUUACCAUGGCUACAAUAGAGCGCAGUCAAGUGCUUUUUAAAAAUCCACUUCAUCCCUUUUGCACACCAGAAUGAUUUUGGUUUUUGAAUUCCAAUAAAUUAACGAGUACUAUAACCUUCAAUUCAAUUAAAGAUAUAGCAGGAGCUUCUCACCAUACCUUUCCUGCUUUGCUGUCUGAUAGUAGCUCCUACCUUUUACCCUUUAGCUUAAAGCAACACCCCCUACACACACCCUUAGCCCUAUGUCUCCUUUAUUAAAGUUAGCCCUCUGAGCCGACUUCCUACUGUUGUAGUGAUAGCUGAAAACCACCAGGUGUCACAAAGGGAUGAAACAUCAAAAAGUCCUUUAAACUAAGAUUUAAGAUUUUAAGGGGCAGCUCUAAAUUCAGGCCUAAGCUGAAUCAAAGGACCAUAGUUUUAGAGCUAGAAGGAAUCUUAAGUGAUUAUCUUAUCCAAUUCCCUUAUUUUAGGGAUGAGGAUGCUGAAGCUCAGAGCAUCAAAGUGACUUGCUAAGUGUGAUGCAGACAGGAAGCCGAAAUAGUAAUCCAGGUAUUCUAACUUUCAGGCAAGUAUUCUUGCCACCAUACCAUGGUUUUGUUUAAAAAAAAAAAAUACACACACACACA